GGACGAUUAGCUCAGCUGGUUAGAGCGCUGCUUUUACACAGCAGAGGUCGGGGGUUCGAGCCCCUCAUCGUCCA
rnacentral:tRNA from 1 species